GUGCCCGCCGCAGCGGCAGGCACCUCCCCGCCCCCCCGUGCCCGCUGUCCUGCAGCAGGAGCGGCAGCGUCCCGGGGCGCCGCCAGCGCGGCGAUGGCAGCGGAGUUGCGAGACGAGCGGUUUCUCUACAUGAUCUCGUGCUUCAGGCCGCGGCUGAAGCAGUUCAUCCGGGUGCAGCCGGUGCUGGACCGGCUCCCCUCGCUCAGCGCGGACGACAGGGAGAAGGUGCGGGCGGCCGCUCUGCAGCGGGGCGAGGUGGAAGGGGCGGAGGAGCUGCUACGGGCCGUGGAGCGGGGGCCCCGCGGGUGCGGCUGGUUCCACGAGUUCCUGCAGGCGCUGGAGCACGGCGGCUGCGGCAUGGCCGCCUGCUACGUGAACCCCAGCCUCAGCCAGCUGCCCUCGCCGGCCGAGGAGGACGACCACGACCUCUGCGUGCACUUGGUGCAGCUGCUCCACAGCACACUGGUGGAUAGUAUGCGGACCGUGCAGGUGGCCGAGAAGUGCCUGCAGAUGGGCAUCUUCCAGGAUGAAGACCUGGAUGGGAUCCUUACUGUUACUGACAAUCGUGGAAACAGAGAAGGUGCAAGGGAACUGUUGAGCCGAUUAGUGCAGAAGAAAGAUUGGUUCUCUCGUUUUCUGAUUGCUCUGCGUGAAACCCAACAUGGAGGCCUUGCAGAUGAUUUGAGUGGAAAUAUAGGAGGAACAGAAGAUAAACAAAAUGGGAUGAAGAACAGUAUAAACAAGGAAAGAGAAGUUAAAGGCCAACCAGGUUAUGCCAUAGUGGAGGAUUUGAAGCAGCAAGAAAAUAUGAAUGAUAGUUUCAGCAGUGAGAACAAUUUAUUGGAAACAUCUAUUGGAAAGAAUUCUGUAGUUUCAGAGUCAGAUGUCUCUAUAGGAGUUGGAUGUGUCAGUAACUUGAAUGAAAACCUGGGUCAAAGCUGCACAACCAGUGAUUCAGAUGCAGAGGAGAGCAGAGCUUCACCUGAGCCAGAUCUGGUCCUGAGAGAUUACCAAAUGGAAGUUGCAAAGCCAGCACUGAAUGGGGAGAAUAUUAUAAUAUGUCUCCCUACAGGCAGUGGUAAAACCAGAGUGGCUGUUUACAUUACCAAAGAUCAUUUGGAUAAGAAGAAGAGAGCAUCAGAGCCUGGAAAAGUUAUAGUCCUUGUUAAUAAGGUACCAUUGGUAGAACAGCAUUUACGAAAGGAGUUUAAUCCAUUUCUGAAGCGUUGGUAUCACGUUAUUGGUUUAAGUGGUGAUUCUCAGCUGAAAAUCUCAUUUCCUGAAGUUGUCAGAAGAAAUGAUGUCAUCAUCUGUACAGCACAGAUACUUGAAAAUUCACUGCUAAAUGCAGACGAAGAAGAUGGUGUCCACUUAUCAGAUUUUUCACUCCUCAUUAUUGAUGAGUGUCAUCACACUCAAAAGGAAGGUGUCUACAACAACAUAAUGCGACGUUAUUUAAAAGAAAAAAAGAAGAACAGGAAGCUGGCAAAAGAAAACAAACCACUGAUCCCACAGCCUCAGAUUCUGGGACUUACAGCCUCACCUGGUGUAGGAGGUGCAACUUCCUACUCCAAAGCUGAAGAACAUAUUCUGAAAAUCUGUGCCAAUCUUGAUGCAUGUAGAAUCAUGACUGUUGAGGAGCAUGCCUCCCAACUGAAGAAUCAGGUGAAGGAACCUUUUAAGAAGACUGUGAUUGCAGAUGACAAAAGAAGGGAUCCAUUUAGAGAGAGAAUAACUGAGAUCAUGACAGAGAUUCAAAACUAUUGCCAGCUCCAUCCAAAAUCUGAGUUUGGAACUCAGCCAUAUGAACAGUGGGUGAUUAGAGAAGAGAAAAAAGCUGCAAAAGAAGAAAAACGCAAGGAACGUGUCUGUGCAGAACACCUGAAGAAAUACAAUGAUGCUCUCCAGAUAAAUGAUACCAUCCGAAUGGUGGAUGCGUACAAUCACCUGAAUAACUUUUAUAAGGAGGAGAAAAGUAAGAAGACAGUAAGGAGUGAUGAUGAUGAUGAUGAUGAACCAGCAGUAUCAAAACAGGAUGAAACAGAUUUAUUUCUAAUAGGUUUAUUUCAUGCAAAAAAGAAACAGCUGAAAGAGUUGGCUAGAAAGCCAGAAUGUGAAAAUGAGAAGCUAAUACAGUUGCGAAACACUUUAAUGGAGGAGUUCACGAAGACUGAGGCACCUAGAGGAAUUAUUUUCACAAAGACCCGGCUAAGUGCCUUUGCUCUAUUCCAGUGGAUUAAGGAUAACCCAAAAUUUGAAGAAGUGGGAAUUAAGGCCCAUCAUCUUAUUGGUGCUGGACAUAACAGUGAAAUGAAACGCAUGACUCAGAAUGAGCAAAGGGAAGUUAUUGAUAAAUUCCGAGGUGGAAAUUUGAAUUUACUUAUUGCUACUACUGUAGCUGAGGAAGGCCUAGACAUCAAAGAGUGUAACAUUGUUAUUCGCUACGGCCUCGUCACCAAUGAAAUUGCUAUGGUGCAGAACUAGGAAGAAAUGUCGUGUGGUGGUGGUGUGCUGUUUAUGUUGCAUUCCUUGCAAAUUGCAGGCUCGUGGUCGAGCUCGAGCUGAUGAGAGCACCUAUGCACUUGUGGCUUCGGUUGGCUCAGGAGCUGUUGAACGUGAAGAUGUUAAUAUUUUCCGUGAGAAAAUGAUGUAUAAAGCCAUUCAGCAUGUCCAGAAAAUGCCACAGGAUGAGUAUUUAAAGAAGAUCCAGAAUUUCCAGUGCCAAAAUAUAGUGGAAAAAGAAAUUAAGGCAAAGAGACAUCAGCACAAGACAUACAAGAAAAAUCCUUCACUAUUAACAUUCCUAUGCAAAAAUUGCCACAAGCUGGUAUGUUCUGGAGAAGACAUAAGAGUUAUUGAGAACAUGCAUCAUGUCAGUGUGAAAAGAGAUUUCCAAAGUCUUUACCAUACAAGAGAAAAUAAGACACUGCAAGAUAAGGAUGCUGAUUACCAGACAAAUGGAGAAAUUAUAUGUAAAGAUUGUGGACAAGCUUGGGGAAAUAUGAUGGUUCACCGAGGUCUUGACCUCCCUUGUCUAAAGAUUAUAAAUUUUGUGAUUGUGUUUGAAGACAAGAAGAUAACAAAAGAAAUUUUUAAGAAAUGGAGAGAACUGCCCAUUAAGUUCCCUAGUUUUGAUUAUACAGCUCAUUGUCCUUCAAGUGAUGAAGAUUAAGGACUUAAAAUGAAAAUUAAAAGCCCUUUUUCAACUUUUCUCUUCCUGCUGAUUAGAAGCUCCUGUGUCCCAUAGGAAGUGCUGCAUCAAAUACUGUGAAAGCCCCUGGGCCUGAGGAAACUGUCUUGAAGAGUUAAAAAAAAAAAAAAAAAAAAAAAAAAGGAAGGAGAAGGACAAAGUCACAUGGCUGCUGUCUGCACUCAGAUUUGCUCUGGUACUCCAUGGAACAAAUUCCCAUCUCUACUCACUACAGUCCAUCAUAUGGUGACAACACUGUCAGAAGUGUGUUAGGUGACCCAUUGUCAAGCAUAGACCAUAGGACAGAUAUCUUGAGAUGUGCCAUGGUGAUUAUUUUCUGUUUUAAUUCCUGCUAUAACCCUUUUGAAGAUAAAGUGUUUCAAAAGAGGAGCUAUGUUAAAAGAUUAGAGGAGCGUUAUUUCUGAAUCAUUGUUGCUUCAUCAGUGUUUUCAUGACUGAGUUCUUCCCCUCUUAUCUUUAGCUGUAAGCUCAUACAUUUUGACAGAUUAAAAUGAAGUUUCUGUUAAAAGAUAUUUCAAAAAAUCAAGCCCUUAACCUGACUUGAAAUUGAUUAUUUUACUGUCCAAGAAGCCCAAUGCCAACUGACUUUCUGUGUGUUACUUUCAUUGGAUUGUUAAACUGACUGUAUAAUGAGGUAUGUAUUUUUUUCAAUAAAUUACUCUAAUGAUUAA